GGAUGCGCAGCUGCCUCGAGGCGGGUGGGUCUCAGUCUCUGUUUGGCUCUGGGCUCUCGCGGCUGUGGGUGUGGGGUUGCGCGUCUUGCUCGAUGCACCUCUUCGCCUAUUGGCGGUGCGGCGCGUGCAAUACGCUCACUGGCAGCCAGUUUAUGGCCAUAAAUGUUCACUCAUUUGCUCGCCACAUAUUUGUCAGCCAGCGGGCAAGCUGCCAGAGGCAGCAGCUACAAAAAUAGAGAAAGAACAGAAAAACUAAUUGCAGCAGAUUUAGUCUAGUGCAGUGACAGCACCUCUGCAAUGGAACCACAAUUUCCUAAAUCAAUUUAAGCAUCUCCCGUUGGCUUGGCUUUAAUUGGCGCCGCGUUUUGCAUUUGUUUAAUAUUUAAAGCUCAACAAUUUUGCACAAUAUCUAAGACGGCAACAACAACAUGAAGCCAACAGCGAUUUGUAUGUACAACAACAACUGUAAAUUUACAACAACAAUCGUGUCAAGUUCAACAAAAGCUUCGCCCAUUGUUGUUGUUGUAAAUCUCAUAUAUAAAAUUCGUGGCACGCACAGAGCCCAAAAA